rnacentral:rRNA from 1 species
UGUUNAACAAAAACAUCGCCUCUUGCACCAAUAUAAGAGGUCCAGCCUGCCCAGUGACCCAGUUCAACGGCCGCGGUAUCCUAACCGUGCGAAGGUAGCGUAAUCACUUGUUCUUUAAAUGAGGACUAGUAUGAAUGGCACCACGAAGGUUACACUGUCUCCUUUUUCUAAUCAAUGAAACUAAUCUCCCCGUGAAGAAGCGGGGAUUUAAAUAUAAGACGAGAAGACCCUAUGGAGCUUCAAACUAAAUAGUAUUGGCUUUUACCCAUUUACACCCCCGGGGCCUUAUACUAACUCUAGCCUUUUAACUAUUAGUUUUGGGUUGGGGUGACCGCGGAGCAAAAAUUAUCCUCCAUGAUGAAUAGAGCUACUCUUGAGCCAAAAGCCACAACUUUAAGCACCAAUAAACUGACAUAAAUUGACCCAAUAUUUUGAGCAACGAACCAAGUUACCCUAGGGAUAACAGCGCAAUCCAUCUCAAGAGCCCCUAUCGACAGGUGGGUUUACGACCUCGAUGUUGGAUCAGGGUAUCCCAGUGGUGCAGCCGCUACUGAAGGUUCGUUUGUUCAACGAUUAAAACCCU